CAUGAAUUUAAGUGUGCCGAAAAUGUGAAAGAUUUAUUGCACUUGGUCCCUUGGGCAAGAGUUACUAACAUAAUAAUGCAUCUUGCUGAUCAUUGCACAGGCUACAGCUGUUUUGUUUAUGCAAUUAUCAGUUUAUGAGACUAAGUGUGAAACUCCUACCUAGUCAUCACGCCCCUAAUUAGGGGGCUUUAUAUUGUUGAGCUCUAGGAGCCGAUCAAUCAUUGAAUGUUUUGUCCUUCCGGUGAGAUGUAGGAGGAUAAAGUUGACUCCAAAAAAUAUUUUCGGAAGGAAUUGAAGCUUUGGAGCUCUGAGGAAGAAUGAUCGAAAUGGGUUUGAAAAUUUCCCGGGCCAGCCCAUCAGCUCUGUCGUAUACAGAUACUCUGCACAGAUCUGCUCACUAGCAAUUAUAUUACACCUUCAUUCUCAACAUUCCUGCACUUUAUCUCAAAACAACAAGCUCCUCUUAUUUCUAUUUAUCACCUGGAGCUCAAGGACUUGUUAUCUCAAUGCAAUGUUUGCAAUUGUUAUUUUAGUUAUGUUAGAAUUCAGGUGAUUUGUGACUCUUGUGAUUUACACAAGUAGAUCUAUGUGAUUAACACAUGAAAACUAUAUGAGGUCAUGUGAUUGUAUAUAUUCAAAUAAUUAUGGAUAUUUAUUCAAUUUUGCAGUCUUUUCAGUUUUGUUAUAUACAAGUAUAAGGUGUGGGUUUCCCCCACAGAGAAGAAAUUUGUAAUUUUCAAAACUGUGCCUGCUUGAGAGGUGUUAUCUAUUUUACCAGCCACUAUUGCUUGGUUCCAUUCGAGGCCAGUCCAGCCUCGAACCGAACCGGGCCAGACGGUUCUGUGCACACCCCUACUGUUGUUGGCCAACAACUCCCAUUAUUCUCAGUCACAUUGGCCAGUAUUAGCCCGCUCUCCCUGCUUAGCUCCCCAAACUGGGUCUCACUGAUCAUGAGACCCAGCUAUCUGUCUUUUUUCCAAUUCCAAAGGUUGGGGGGGCACUUUUAAAAAACAGAAGCCUUCCCUCUGCCCCAUAACUGAUAUUCUCUACUCAGCAGCCUAUUGCAUGAUCUUCCCUAGUCACUAUUGUUGUAUUAGUUAAAAAACUGUGGUUGGUCUAAAAUGCAGCAAUGGACUGCUUUUAGGUGUGUGCAAUAGGCAUCAUGUUCCUCCUGUGCUGCUUGAUCUGCAUUGGUUCUUAUCUCAGUUCAUUUUUGAAUCCAGUUCAAAUCCAGUUUAAAUGACCUUUAAAGUUUGGGCCCAGAGUAUUUUCAGGAUUAUAUUCUCUAAUACAAGCCUCCACAAAUGAAGAUCCUCAGCUGAAAAUCUGCUCUGGAUCCUGCAAACCUUAGAGAUGCACCAUCCAGGAUAGGGUAUUCUUGGUGGCAGCUUCCUGAUUAUAAAACCUAUUUACUCCCUUCCUUACUUAGAUUCAGAUGGCUAGUAGAUUGUCCAUAUUUUGUUGUGGUCCUAAUAUGUUUUUAUUCAAGCAGGUGUUUGCCUAUACCCAUGGCCCAGGUUUUAAUGGAUUUACAUUAAUGAAUUAGGUAUUUGUUAUGUGUUUCAGAACUGUGAUUUAUCUUUAUACUGUCUCGCUCUCUUUAUCUCUCUCUCUCUCUCUUUAUGCUGUUUUAAAUCUUUUAGUUGUGCUGUUUUGCUCAUAAUUCAGAGACAUGGCCUAUGCAUUUUGCAAAUAAGUAAAUAAAUAAAUAACGUAAAUAAA